rnacentral:rRNA from 1 species
UACGGGGGGGGCAAGCGUUGUUCGGAAUUACUGGGCGUAAAGGGCUCGUAGGCGGCCAACUAAGUCAGACGUGAAAUCCCUCGGCUUAACCGGGGAACUGCGUCUGAUACUGGAUGGCUUGAGGUUGGGAGAGGGAUGCGGAAUUGCCGGUGUAGCGGAUGAAAUGCGUAGAUAUCUGGAGGAACACGGUGGCGAAGGCGACGUCCUAGGC